CGCCACCAGCUGGAAGUCGCAGUGCUCUGCCUGCUCCACAUGUCGGUCCUCCAGCAGAGCGUUCUACACGCAACAGACUCUGCUGUCGCUGUAGCUCCUCCUCCAGAAUCAGCGCUCUGCUCCUAAGCUCCUCCUCCUCCAGAAUCAGUGCUCUGCUCCUUAGCUCCUCCUCCUCCAGAAUCAACGCUCUGCUCCUUAGCUCCUCCUCCUCCAGAAUCAACGCACUGCUUCUUAGUUCCUCCUGCUGGACAAGCUGAACAAAUGUUUGCUCUGAUCACUUCCUGUCUGUCAGAAUAAGAGCGUGCAGUGCUGCGUCUGUACCUGGCGGUCAUGGCUGGACGCCGUCCCUCUCCACUUGUCCACAUGCUGCAUUAGGUGUGAUGACUGGACGGCCACGCCCCUUGACACCUGUGCUAGGAGACCCUCGCCCCCUGUUGAUGAGUCUGAUCGGCCAGCAGACGCCGCAGCUGCGGUAGUUUUUGAAGCCUCAGCUCCUCCUCCUGUCUCCUCAGGUCAGAAAGCUCCGCCUCCAAAUGACCACGACGCUCAUGCUCUUUAUGGCAUCUGUUGAUGCAGCAGGAGAUUAUGGGUAUAUGUGUGUGUGUGCGUGCGUGCGUGCGUGUGUGUCUGUGUCUGUGUG